ACUAUGUUAUAGUGCUCAUUACAAGGAAUCCAAAGAGUUCUUAAACCGGUCAUUCCGAUGACGAACGUCACCAGAAAAGUCACCGGAAAGUUGGCUAAAGCCAUGUUGUCAAAAGUGUAGUUCCAACAGAGACUAGUAUAGUGUUUGCCUGUUUGGUAUCGAAGAGAGAGAGAGAGAGCAGACACUAUACCAGUCUCAACAGGUGAGGGUUGUUCCGUUACACUGUCGGUGUGGAAAAUUAGGGUUUCUGGAGCUUCGAACUCGAAUCCCCAUGGGUUUCUCCUUAUCUACCUAUCUAGUCCAAUUUCUCGGUUAGGAGCAAGCCAACACUAGCAGCCAAGCAAUUUAUGAUAACCGGAAUAUAACCGAUUCUUGGUUUUAGGGUUUACGGGAUCACAGGAGCUCUUUGAAGAACUACUUGCCAGAGUAUCCGGUCCGGUGAUGUGUACAUCGCUCGGGGGUGUUUCUGUCCCAGCUCUCUUGACAAAGAUUGUCCUUGGUUGGGACUAGUUCCCUCCUAGACCAAUCAAUUUUUGUCAGAGGGAGACACAAUAACUGGUGGUGACUUGUAAGUUUAUUGGUUUACUAGGAAGCAGCUGGAUUCACAGUUAAUGAUCCUGUUCACACAAUGCCACUUUCUCUGGAACUAGGACCAGGAAUUUUGGAAAAUGUCUUCGAUGGAGUUAAGGUUGGCCACUCCAUGGUUUGGCUAAUCAGGAAGUUUUGCUGUGGAUUAAAUCAUUUGUCGAGGAAUGUGGAGAAAAUAUAUCAAGGACAGCCAAAAGAUAAUGUCUGGAAAACGUUGAACAGUGGGAAGGUUGUUGUAGGAUAUAGCCAUGGUGUCUUGCCUAAAACGGAUCCAAGAUACCUGUGCCAAAGAGAGUUUGCCUUGAAGCAUCUACCGGAUGAUCCUCUUUUAAAUUAAUCAACUCGAUAUGUCUCAAAGCUUUAUGAAGUGGUGCCUCCUAUUGUAACUGAGCUGGGAGAGGUCAAGAACCUGUGGCCUAACGUUGAUGCUCAUAGUAGAGUGCUGCUGAACUAUUAAUUAUGGUCUAACCUAAGCAAGAUACGACACUGUGCUUUUUGGCGUCUGAAGGAGUCUCGGCAUCUGCUCACAGCUGAUAUGGGACCGGGCUCUUGGACUGCCACUAGAUAGGCCAAAGAGAGGACAGCCGAAACGCUAAGUUGAUCCCUCCUUACUGUGGUUGGUCAAGGUUCUCUCUUUUAUGAAACUAGCCUUCUCUUCCAUUUGAAUGGAUAGUCAAAGACAGCGUAGAUGCCACAGGACAGAUUUCUGCUGCAUUCGACUUCACAACUAAGUGAAUUCUGCAGGCAUCAACAUCUUAUGCUUGUAGCUGGUGUAUAUUCGGUGCUGGCCAAGGACCCAAGUGCUAAUCAAGAGAAAUAAUAUGAUCGGAUGUAAUCAAUCCAUUCACAAAACCUUGCUCCACUUAGGUUUCUCAGUUUCUUCACUAUCUUACUCCUACUUGGCUGAAUACGUUAACUGAUGCUGAUUUGCAUGUUGGUUUUUGGAGUUUCUUAAAUUUCUGUGGACAAAGUUGUUCUAUGUUAUCCGUUUAAUCAACAAAUCAUGAGUUGGCAUAAGUGGAACUGUCCUGCAACUUACGUGUAGAAGGGAUCUGGAACGUGCCGAAGAUUCUACUGCCAGAAAAUAAUCAAAAGGACCCUAGCCUCCCUUUCCAUUGGAGUAAGCUGCUGCACCAUCUGAGUAGGAGGACCAGAUAGUUGGUCUAUCGUCUCUUUAGUUGUUCUUGGGUGUUGGACUGUUAUGUCACUUGCUGUUGAAUCUGGCACAACACUGAUGUCCAUUGAUGAAACGGAUGCCUAAUGACAGAAACAAAGACAUUUUCAAUCCUCUGAGGUGGCUUGUUGAUUCUUCAACUUGAAGUGGCACAACUCCAUCUCCUCCAAAGCUCCUCUGGUAUUGACUGUACUGAUGAUCAUCGAAUUGGUUGUCCAUGCUGGAGCUGUAAUCCACAAGAUCAAGGUACUCAACACCAAACAAGAAACCA